CACGUUUUCCUUGUACCUGUUAAAUGAGACUGCCAGGUAUCACAUGUUUAAAUAACAGACUAUAUCUAGAACCAUUGGAUUUCCUGGCUCCAUUCCACUCUUAUGCUUCUUCUUGGAGGCAGCUUCACCUCUGCUCACAUUCCGGAGAUAAGCAUGAACUUUGGUAAUACGAUGAAGACAUGCUUCUUUCUUCUUCCAUGCCCAGAUUUUUUCUUAAUCCAAAAUAAGUUUUAAAGUGAUUGGGGGAGGUGAGGGGGAAUAUUAAUGAUUUAAAUUUUUACCAAAACCCAUUUACAUUUGGAUGGUUUCACUUUCCACAAAGAAAAGCAACAACCCUGACCCUCCCAACAAAACAAAACAAAAUAACAAAAAUAAAGUCAAACAUUAACUGCCUCCCCAGCCCCACUGAAAACAAAAUCAAAAACAAGAAAACAAAUCAAAGCCUUAAGGAUUUAUGAACCUGGAGAGAGUGCAGCCCUUCUAGACUGAGCUGCAAAGAUGGCCCUGCCUCCAUGCCUUGUUGAACAUGACGAUGCCCCUGGGAAUGGGAGGUGAUGGUUUUUUACUUCGGCCCUAGUACGGAGUAUGCUCUUGAAGCUGGAUUCCAUCAGCAGGUUUUGGAAAUCACUAGUGGGUAAAAAAGACCAAUUUGCAACUAGGCUGUCAUGCUCUGUUGAAAACUAUGUCACAAUAUCACAAUACUAGAUGUUGGGCUCAAGACAGCAAACAGAAAGCAGCAAGGGCAGUGACUGGAAGCUGGGAGAGAGGGUCAACAGCUGAAUCUCAGCCUGAUAGAGGCCAC
rnacentral:antisense_RNA from 1 species